AUACGUAGGGGGCGAGCGUUGUCCGGAAUUACUGGGCGUAAAGGGUGCGUAGGUGGCACUUUAAGUUGGAUGUGAAAUCCCCGUGCUUAACAUGGGAGCUGCAUCCAAUACUGGAGAGCUAGAGUGCAGGAGAGGUAGGCGGAAUUCCUAGUGUAGCGGUGAAAUGCGUAGAUAUUAGGAGGAACACCAGUGGCGAAGGCGGCUUACUGGACUGUAACUGACACUGAGGCACGAAAGCGUGGGGAGCAAACAGGAUUAGAUACCCUGGUAGUCCACGCUGUAAACGAUGAAUACUAGGUGUAGGGGGUAUCAACUCCCUCUGUGCCGCAGCAAACGCAAUAAGUAUUCCGCCUGGGGAGUACGGCCGCAAGGUUGAAACUCAAAUGAAUUGACGGGG
rnacentral:rRNA from 1 species